UGAAAGGCACUGAACAGAGGAAUGGGAGAUGUAGCCUUCGGGAAACCGAGAGACACGGUGGGGCACAGGCUGUCGUCAGCUCGCGGUUGCUGAGAAUAGUUGGGUUAAGUCCCGCAACGAGCGGCAACCCCUAUGCCGUAUAGUGAGCCAGCAGCGAUUCCGAGCCGGGCACUCAAAGGAGACUGCCAGGGAUAACCUGGAGGAAGGCGGGGAUGACGUCAAAUCAUCAUGCCCCUUACGACCAGGGCUACACACGUGCUACAAUGGCGUAAACAAAGGGAAGCGACCCCGUGAGGGCAAGCAAAUCUCAAAAAUAACGUCUCAGUUCGGAUUGUAGUCUGCAACUCGACUACAUGAAGCUGGAAUCGCUAGUAAUCGCAAUCAGAAUG
rnacentral:rRNA from 1 species